UACGGAAGGGGCAAGCGUUGUUCGGAAUCAUUGGGUGUAAAGGGCGCGUAGGUGGUUCUGUAUGUCUACCGUGAAAGCAUACAGCUCAACUGUAUUUUGUCGGUAGAAACUGCAGGACUUGAGGCUGGGAGGGGCUGGUGGAAUUCCCUGUGUAGCGGUGAAAUGCGUAGAGAUGGGGGAGAACACUCGUGGCGAAGGCGGCCAGCUAGACCAGUUCUGACACUGAGGCGCGACAGCGUGGGGAGCAAACAGG
rnacentral:rRNA from 1 species